rnacentral:tRNA from 1 species
AGAAACUUAGGCUAAUCUAAACCAAGAGCCUUCAAAGCUCAAAACAUGAAAUCUAAACCUUCAUAGUUUCU